rnacentral:misc_RNA from 1 species
GAAAUGCGAUAAUUAAUGUGAAUUGCAGAAUUCAGUGAAUCAUCGAGUCUUUGAACGCACAUUGCGCCCCCUGGUAUUCCGGGGGGCAUGCCUGCCCGAGCGUCAUUGCUGCCCUCAAGCACGGCUUGUGUGUUGGGCUUCCGUCCCUGGCAACGGGGACGGGCCCAAAAGGCAGUGGCGGCACCAUGUCUGGUCCUCGAGCGUAUGGGGCUUUGUCACCCGCUCCCGUAGGUCCAGCUGGCAGCUAGCCUCGCAACCAAUCUUUUUAACCAGGUUGACCUCGGAUCAGGUAGGGAUACCCGCUGAACUUAAGC